ACGUUCGGGUAAUCGCUGCAAGUCUUCUUGCAGAGGAAAGUCCAUGCUCGCACGAGCUGAGAUGCUCGUAGUGUUCGUGCCUAGCGAAUUCAUAAGCUAGGGCAGCCGGGUAGCUCAUUCGGUUGACGGCUGGGAAAAUACCUAAGUCCUUAGGAUAUGGUAGGUGUACCUUUAAAAGUGCCACAGUGACGAUUACCUCCUUAGAAAUGAGGAGGGUGGAACGGGUAAACCCCACGAGCGAGAAACCCAAAUUAUGGUAGGGGCACUUUCUCUAUCGGAAAUCAACGAGGAGAAGGACAGGUUCCACGUGAAUCUGUAGAUAGAUGAUUACCGCCUCAGUACGAGACUUGUAAGUCGUUUGCAGUACGGAGGUACAGAACAUGGCUUAUAGAA
rnacentral:RNase_P_RNA from 1 species